rnacentral:rRNA from 1 species
AAGACCUUGCGCUUUUGGAGCGGCCGAUGUCUGAUUAGCUAGUUGGUAGGGUAAUGGCCUACCAAAGCUUCGAUCAGUAGCUGGUCUGAGAGGACGACCAGCCACACUGGGACUGAGACACGGCCCAGACUCCUACGGGAGGCAGCAGUGGGGAAUUUUGGACAAUGGGCGCAAGCCUGAUCCAGCCAUGCCGCGUGAGUGAAGAAGGCCUUCGGGUUGUAAAGCUCUUUCAGCCGGGAAGAAAAGGCUACGACGAAUAAUCGUAGCGCAUGACGGUACCGGAAGAAGAAGCACCGGCUAACUACGUGCCAGCAGCCGCGGUAAUACGUAGGAUGCGAGCGUUAAUCGGAAUUACUGGGCGUAAAGGGUGCGCAGGCGGUUUUGUAAGUCAGAUGUGAAAUCCCCGGGCUUAACCUGGGAACU